AAUGAAUCUCUCUCUCUCUCUCUCUCUCUCUCUCUCUCUCUCUAUAUAUAUAUAUAUAUAUAUAUGUGGGCACCAACUGUUCUGCAACUAACUAAAGCAAAAAGAUUUCUCAAUAUGAGCAACAUUCAAGCAAGGGGUGGGGCAACAAGCAUUCCCAAUGAAUCAUGAAGCAUUGCACUCCUAGAUCUCUUGGUGGCUCUGCUCUUUUGAACCGACCAAAUUAACUAUGAUGGGUGAUGAAAGGUUAGUCCUUUUGUUCCUUGUAGUCCCAUGCCCUCUAAUUAUACCAGGGGAUGGGAUGGUACUUGUUGCAAAUAUAUAGUUUGUAAUAUUUCAGCACCACAAAAAGAAACCCAACCCAAAAGGUGAAGAAUAUAGAGGGAAGUUGUAAUUUGUAAGCUUUCUUGCAAAUUACUAAUUUUCUUUUGUUCUGCUACCUGGAAUGUUCUUUUGAGCUCAGCCUCACGUCAA